rnacentral:rRNA from 1 species
GAUGAACGCUGGCGGCGUGCCUAAUACAUGCAAGUCGAACGAACAGACGCGGAGCUUGCUCCUCUGUCGUUAGCGGCGCACGGGUGAGUAACACGUGGAUAACCUACCUAUAAGACUGGGAUAACUUCGGGACACCGGCUCUAAUACCGUAUAAUAUAUUGCACCGCAGGGUGCGAUGGUGAAAGACGGUUUUGCGGUCACGUAUCGAUGGAUCUCCGCCUCAUUAGCUAGUUGGUAAGUUAACAGCUUACCAAGGCAACGAUGCGUAGCCGACGUGACAGGGGGAUCGGCCACACGGGAGCUGAGACACGGUCCAGGCUCCUACGAGAGGCAGCAGUAGGGAAUCUUCCGCAAUGGGCGAAAGCCUGACGGAGCAACGGGGCGUGAGUGAUGAAGGUCUUGGGUUCGGAAAACUCGGUUAUUAGGGAAGAACAAAUGUGUAAGUUACUAUGCAGUGCUUGACGGUACCGGAUCAGAAAGCCACGGCUAACUACGUG